ensembl:lncRNA
GGUAUCCUAGUGGUUAGAGUGGAGGGGUGGCAGGGUAGCCUAGUGGUUAGAGUGGAGGGGCGACAGGUAGCCUAGUGGUUAGAGUGGAGGGGCGGCAGGGUAGCCUAGUGGUUAGAGUGGAGGGGCGACAGGUAGCCUAGUGGUUAGAGUGGAGGGCGGCAGGUAGCCUAGUGGUUAGAGUGGAGGGCGACAGGGUAGCCUAGUGGUUAGAGUGGAGGGGCGGCAGGUAGCCUAGUGGUUAGAGUGGAGGGGCGGCAGGGUAGCCUAGUGGUUAGAGUGGAGGGGCGGCAGGGUAGCCUAGUGGUUAGAGUGGUGGGGCGGCAGGGUAGCCUAGUGGUUAGAGUGGAGGGGCGGCAGGGUAGCCUAGUGGUUAGAGUGGAGGGGCAACAGGGUAGCCUAGUGGUUAGAGUGGAGGGGCAACAGGGUAGCCUAGUGGUUAGAGCGUUGGACUAGUAACCGGAAGGUUGCGAGUUCAAACCCCCGAGCUGACAAGGUACAAAUCUGUCAUUCUGCCCCUGAACAGGCAGUUAACCCACUGUUCCUAGGCCGUCAUUGAAAAUAAGAAUUUGUUCUUAACUGACUUGCCUGGUAAAAUAAAAAUUUUAAAAAAUACUGUUGAUGUCAUGGAUUGGCAUUCUUUCCUCCAACUCCAUCACUAAAACAGUGAAAGGCUGACGGGCGUUGUUGUUGUUGUUGUUGUUUGAACGGCAGAUUUAACCCCGUUAAAGGGGCGAUUGUGGAUUUUGUCUGUGCCCACCCGGAUCUGUGUUUGUUUUGAUUUGUGUCCUUUCUUUAUGAGUUGUUAGGUAGAUUAUUAAGGGUGUUUUAUGAACCAAAAUGAGGCAUCAUUUGGCUCCAGUGUAAAAUGAAUUUGUUCCUCUGCAGUCGACUGUCAAUUUCUCAGCCCCGAGGUACAGUACAUUCCAGGGCUGUGUCUGUAGAUGAAAAGACUCCAGUUCACUAAAGAGGGCAAGUGGAGACAGGUUCCACAUGCCUACCCAGGAAGGUAUCAGUGGGACAAAUGACCUACAUUACCUCAUCUACCAGUGGUGGAUACUAAAACGUAUUUUUCUCUAAACGGGUGGAGUACGUCAGUGUAUAUUGGGCAGAAGGUCCCCAGUUUGUCUGGAUCAGAACGGGACCUACUGUGUUUUAACAGGGACAUUGUAAAGUCAACAUCUGGAGUCAAUAUCGGCCUAUUCACAACGGCUAUUUUCUGACCUUGUUCCUGUAAAGAAUGACAGCGGGGGAAAGAAAUGGCGGAGAAAUGGUUGUGGAUGUUAAUACCACGGAGGGGAUGCUGGAGCUCACGUGGGAAAGGUGCUGGACAAGGUAAAGCUGUCUUGCUGGGUGGUGGUGGUGUUGUUGUUGUUGAUGGUUGUGGUGGAGUAGUUGUUGAUGGUGGAGUUGUUGUUGGCGGAGUUGUUGUUGGUGGUGGAGUUGUUGUUGUUGGUGGUGUUGUUGUUGUUGUUGUUGGUGGAGUUGUUGUUGUUGGUGGUGGAGUUGUUGUUGGUGGUGGAGUUGUUGUUGUUGGUGGUGUUGUUGUUGUUGUUGGUGGAGUUGGUGGUGGAGUUGUUGUUGUUGGUGGAGUUGUUGUUGGUGGUGGAGUUGUUGUUGUUGAUGGUGGUGGUGGAGUUGUUGUUGUUGGUGGAGUUGUUGUUGGUGGUGGAGUUGUUGUUGGUGGUGGUGUUGUUGUUGUUGAUGGUGGUGGUGGAGUUGUUGUUGGUGGUGGAGUUGUUGUUGGUGGUGUUGGUGGUGGAGUUGUUGUUGUUGGUGGAGUUGUUGUUGUUGUUGGUGGUGGAGUUGUUGUUGUUGUUGGUGGUGGUGGAGUUGUUGUUGGUGGUGGAGUUGUUGUUGUUGGUGGAGUUGUUGUUGUUGGUGGUGGUGGUGGAGUUGUUGUUGGUGGUGGAGUUGUUGUUGUUGUUGGUGGUGGUGGAGUUGUUGUUGGUGGAGUUGUUGUUGUUGGUGGAGUUGUUGUUGGUGGAGUUGUUGUUGUUCUUGUUGUUGGUGGAGUUGUUGUUGUUGGUGAUGGAGUUGUUGUUGUUGGUGGAGUUGUUUGUGGUGGUGGAGUUGGUGGUGGUGGUGUUAUUGUUGUUGGUGGUGGUGGAGUCGUUGGUGGUGGUGGAGUUGUUGGUGGUG